rfam:Glycine max cultivar Williams 82 chromosome 2, whole genome shotgun sequence.
ACGCGGCUUAGUUAGGAGGCGCACAUCAAUCGGAACUAAAUUCACGUUUGCUUCCAUUCAGAGAUAGGCCUUUUGAAGGGACUCUGAUAUCAUUUGUCCCUCAAGCAGCCUUUCACAUUU